UAUGUUAGCUUGCUAAUAUAUUUAGUAGCAAAUGGGUGAGUAACACGUACCUAACCUACCUUUUGGACCGGGAUAACUAUUGGAAACAGCAGCUAAUACCGGAUAAAAUAAAAAAAUGCAUGUUUUUUUAUUAAAAGGAGCCUUUAAAGCUCCACCAAAAAAUGGGGGUGCGCAACAUUAGUUAGUUGGUAGGGUAAAGGCUUACCAAGACGAUGAUGUUUAGCGGGGCCAAGAGGCUGUACCGCCACACUGGGAUUGAGAUACGGCCCAGACUCCUACGGGAGGCAGCAGUAAGGAAUAUUCCACAAUGAGCGAAAGCUUGAUGGAGCGACACAGAGUGCAG
rnacentral:rRNA from 1 species